rnacentral:lncRNA from 13 species
CUGCCAGGCGUUGGGAAGCUGUCAGAGACAGCGACAGAUUUUUUCAGAUGGAAAUCCUGAUUUUUGUCUGAAAGUUCAAAUUUCAUCAUUAGCACCAAAUACUGUCAGGUGUUUUCCUCAAAGUGAGAGGUUCACUUUGCUCAUUUUUGAGAAAAUAUAUGCCCAAUACUGAGGCCUGGGUAACUACAGUUUUUCUGUCAGUCAUUCUUUCAAAUAGAAUUAGUGUUUGAUGUGGAAGAGGAGCAGUGAGCUGCAGAGCUCAGGCCCUCCUCCAGGUGCCUGGCGUCCGGCGUGAGCAGAAGGCCGACUGUCUGUGUCCUGUUUCGUUAACAGAAUAUUCACAAGAUGUGAAGGAUUGAGAUUGAAAAGAUGACACUUCCACUGCUUCAUCAAGGACAUGUGUCAGUGAAGGUGGCUUUUUGUUUCUCGCUGAGUGCGAAGACAUCGAGAGGGUGGCACUGAGGAAGACGCUGGAGGAGAUGCCCUGGGGAGGGCCUGGGUUAGCUCCUGCGGGAGGCACUGCCCAGCCAGGCCCCGCCAUCGACUGUUUCCCAUGCAGGCGCCGGCAGUUUGACAAUGUUGGAGCGGCUUCUGCCACCUCCCUGUGAUGCCAACACCGAGAACUCAGCCAACAUCAUCUGAGUAUCUGUGAUGCAGAUUUUACCUUCUGAACCUCUGAAAGGGUCUUGGCCCCGCAGUGGUGCCGCCCACAUCCCGAGACCUACUGGUCCAAAGGUUGAGGGCCGGAGAGGGGCCAUGAGGACCCCAGGGCAGGAGACUCAGGAGACAGUGUCCGCUCCAGCUAACCCUGGUCCAGAACACACACCCAUCCACGCUGCCGCCAGGAGCCAGGAGCGGCUGGGCUGCCCAGCAGAGCUCCCCUGUGUCUAUAAGGACCCCUGCGUCCCAUCAGGACCCCCUGUGUCUGGUAAGGACCCCCUCUGCUUCAUAGGGACCCCUGUGUCUCUUAGGGACCCCCUGUGUCUGGUAAGGACCUCUUGUGUCUCACAAGGACCCCCUGUGUCUGGUAAGGACCCCUGUGUCUCAUAG